UUAAGAAAAUUGGGGCUUAAAAACUCAUUUAAUUUCAUAGCAGAUUAUAUUCUCAAAUUGAAUUGAGGGGAAAGGUCUUUUGAGGUUAGUAAGAAGCAUCAAUAAGGGAGCUGAGACAGCAGUUUUUACUUCAGACUAUUUCAAAAAUCAAGAGCAGAGCUAAGAAUAGAUGUUCAUAAUGGCCAAUCCAGUUUUCAGACCACAGACACAUGCUCCCUGGCCCCCAUGCCUACUUAGAGCAUCAUCUUAGAAAAUGCAAUGUUUGGAUAUCUCUAAAGAGACUCUGAGUCACUUCCCUACUCAACCUCAAUUUCUUUUAUUCCCUUGGUUCAUCAUUAGACUGAUAGCAAAGCUGAGACAAGAACCAAGGAAAGGCUUCUGAUUCAAGAGAGUGCAUUGAACACAAGCACAUGCUGAAUUAUCUUCCAUCUGCUUUAAAUUCAUGAAAAAUACUGGGCACAUACUUAUAAUAAUUAACACACAAUUAUUGUUAAAUUCUAGGAAAGAAAAAUCUCUGGAGAAUACAAGUGAAAAUG